AAUUCCCUCCCACAGUCUGAGAGGAAACUCCCAACAGAACCUCUGAACUCUGAACAUCUGUUUAAAACAUCUGACUCACUGAUCAUAAGAACAGUUACCACAUGAACUGGUGACACAAGAUUUUCUUUUUAAUGUUAGUUGUUGUUUUUGUUCAGAGAAGAAAAUGACCUACAAUAGAACAUAUUAUUUCUAAUUGACUCUCUCUCCCUGUGAUGCGCGGUUUGGCCUCCAGGGGGCGAACACGGGAAGAGCUGCAGCUCAUUAGAGCGAAGAAGAAGAAGAAGAAGAAGAAGAAGAAGAAGAAGAAGAAGAAGAAGAAACCGUGAGAAUUGAUCAGCUGACUGUCGGAGCCGAAGCUAAAGCUAAAGCUAACAGUGAAUCUGAUAUUUUCCUCUCUCCGCGGAGACAACAUGGCGUUCAUCACCGCCAACUGGAACCCGCUGGGAGAAGCUUUUUAUCGGAAGACAGAGCUGUAUGAGAUGAGCUGGAACCUGCGAGACGGACUCAGAGACAGUUUGGUGGCUGCAGCUCCGUACGGAGGCCCGAUAGGUACACACACACACACACACCACACACACACACACUCA